ACAUAGUUAGCCGUCCCUUAUUCUUGGUAUACCGUCAUUCGUCUUCUCCAAAAAAGGAGUUUACACACCGUAAUGCUUCAUCCUCCACGCAGAAUCGCUGCAUCAGACUUUCGUCCAUUGUGCAAUAUUCCCA
rnacentral:rRNA from 1 species